rnacentral:lncRNA from 1 species
CCUAGUUACUAGGCAGUGUAGUUAGCUGAUUGCCAAAAGUAACAAUCACUAGCCACACAGCCAGGUAAACAGGUUUGGAAGGCAUCUCAAUGGAAAUCAGAUGCACAGGAAUUUCAACAACAGGACGGUCUACUGGAUUGCCUGUCACACAUGCAAGAGAUGUCAGUGCAUUUGUCAAGCCAGUUUAACUGUACCUUACUGCGCAGAUCUGGAGCCCUCAAUAUAAGAAGGGUAUGGACCUGUUAGAGCGGGUCCAGAGGAGGGCCACAAAGAUGACCGGGGGGGUUGGAGCACCUCUGCUAUGAGGACAGGCUGAGGGAGCUGGGGUUGUUCAGCCUGGAGAAGAGGAGGCUCCAGGGAGACCUAAUAGCUGCCUUCCAGUACCUGAAGGGGACCUACAAGAAGGCUGGGGAGAACCUGUUUACAAAGGCUGUCAAUGACAGAACAAGGGAGAGAAGUAAUGCGCUCCAGGACCCACAGCUUCCUAGAAAAAGUGAGAAAAACAGUGAGAAAGAGAGACUCUUGGAAGCUCAAAGCAUGGAGAAAAACAGAGUAAAAGAAAAAUACCUUCAGCAGGCCAGGAGAAGAGAAGAAAUACUAGCUCUCCUGAGGAAACAGAGAGAAGAAAGGAUUGCAAAAGAGCUGAUUUCUCAUCCACAUAAACCAAAGGUCAAAACUGAUCAAGUAAGCAGGCAGAAGGUGUCUGAAGCUGACCUGGUGGAUCAAGAAGCUGUAAAGGCCCUUAAAUAGCUCAGCUGCAUUCUCUGAUGAAGAAAAUAAAGUGUUUCUUUGCCCCA